rnacentral:lncRNA from 1 species
AAGAAGAUGUGAUGCCCAACCCUUCGUAAAUGGACUUUUAAUGUUUCUUCUUCUUUUAGGUAUAUGUGUAUCGUGCUUUGAGUAAAUAGUUUGGAAUGCAAGGGGACUUGGCACAUGUUCUUUUACAAACCUCUCGUGUUGUGCAAUCCUCAUAGUGCUGACCAUGAAUAUGGCUGAAAAAGACGUAAAAUGGCCUAGUUAGUCUUGAAUGAUGGGCUGUUUUGGAUGCAAUUUAGACUAACACCACAAAUAAAGAUUGAAAUAACACGUGGUACUACCAAGUUUAUUUUGCUGCCAUCAAACUUGUGUGCACAAAUGUGGACACACGCGACAGAAAGAAGGAAAGAACCAAAAUAAGAUACACUCAGGAACAAAGAAGCAAAGGCCAAAAUCUUAGCACUUUCAAGACAACCAAGUUCUUUUGCAUACCGUUUAACAGAAGGCUUGCUGAUAUAGACAGCUAUUGUAUUCGAUGUGGAAUGUCGCUUCUUGCCACAAUUUGGUUAUUAUGCUUUGCCAUUAUGUUGUGAAAUGUACACAUUCACCUACUCCUGCUGCUAAUCCACUAAUUAUGUAUGGUUCUUGUUGCUUUAGUGUAUGUGUGUGACGGCAGCAAUAAAGAAAACUGUUGGUGCAAAA